rnacentral:rRNA from 1 species
GCUAAUACCGGAUAAGAAAGCGGAUCGCAUGAUCAGCUUUUAAAAGGCGGCGUAAGCUGUCGCUAUGGGAUGGCCCCGCGGUGCAUUAGCUAGUUGGUAAGGUAAAGGCUUACCAAGGCGAUGAUGCAUAGCCGAGUUGAGAGACUGAUCGGCCACAUUGGGACUGAGACACGGCCCAAACUCCUACGGGAGGCAGCAGC